rnacentral:rRNA from 1 species
GAUGAACGCUGGCGGCGUGCCUAAUACAUGCAAGUCGAGCGAACAGACGAGGAGCUUGCUCCUCUGACGUUAGCGGCGGACGGGUGAGUAACACGUGGAUAACCUACCUAUAAGACUGGGAUAACUUCGGGAAACCGGAGCUAAUACCGGAUAAUAUAUUGAACCGCAUGGUUCAAUAGUGAAAGACGGUUUUGCGGUCACGUAUAGAUGGAUCCGCGCCGCAUUAGCUAGUUGGUAAGGUAACGGCUUACCAAGGCAACGAUGCGUAGCCGACCUGAGAGGGUGAUCGGCCACACGGGAAGUGAGACACGGUCCAGACUCCUACGGGAGGCAGCAGUAGGGAAUCUUCCGCAAUGGGCGAAAGCUUGACGGAGCAACGCCGCGUGAGUGAUGAAGGUCUUCGGAUCGUAAAACUCUGUUAUUAGGGAAGAACAAAUGUGUAAGUAACUAUGCACGUCUUGACGGUACCUAAUCAGAAAGCCACGGCUAACUACGUG